UUAAGCGACUAAGCGUACACGGUGGAUGCCCUGGCAGUCAGAGGCGAUGAAGGACGUGCUAAUCUGCGAUAAGCGCCGGUAAGGUGAUAUGAACCGUUAUAACCGGCGAUUUCCGAAUGGGGAAACCCAGUGUGAUUCGUCACACUAUCAUUAACUGAAUCCAUAGGUUAAUGAGGCGAACCGGGGGAACUGAAACAUCUAAGUACCCCGAGGAAAAGAAAUCAACCGAGAUUCCCCCAGUAGCGGCGAGCGAACGGGGAGGAGCCCAGAGCCUGAAUCAGCAUGUGUGUUAGUGGAAGCGUCUGGAAAGGCGCGCGAUACAGGGUGACAGCCCCGUACACAAAAGCGCAUGUGCUGUGAGCUCGAUGAGUAGGGCGGGACACGUGGUAUCCUGUCUGAAUAUGGGGGGACCAUCCUCCAAGGCUAAAUACUCCUGACUGACCGAUAGUGAACCAGUACCGUGAGGGAAAGGCGAAAAGAACCCCGGCGAGGGGAGUGAAAAAGAACCUGAAACCGUGUACGUACAAGCAGUGGGAGCACCCUUCGGGUGUGACUGCGUACCUUUUGUAUAAUGGGUCAGCGACUUAUAUUCUGUAGCAAGGUUAACCGUAUAGGGGAGCCGGAGGGAAACCGAGUCUUAAUUGGGCGUUAAGUUGCAGGGUAUAGACCCGAAACCCGGUGAUCUAGCCAUGGGCAGGUUGAAGGUUGGGUAACACUAACUGGAGGACCGAACCGACUAAUGUUGAAAAAUUAGCGGAUGACCUGUGGCUGGGGGUGAAAGGCCAAUCAAACCGGGAGAUAGCUGGUUCUCCCCGAAAGCUAUUUAGGUAGCGCCUCGUGAAUUCAUCUCCGGGGGUAGAGCACUGUUUCGGCUAGGGGGCCAUCCCGGCUUACCAACCCGAUGCAAACUGCGAAUACCGGAGAAUGUUAUCACGGGAGACACACGGCGGGUGCUAACGUCCGUCGUGAAGAGGGAAACAACCCAGACCGCCAGCUAAGGUCCAAAGUCAUGGUUAAGUGGGAAACGAUGUGGGAAGGCCCAGACAGCCAGGAUGUUGGCUUAGAAGCAGCCAUCAUUUAAAGAAAGCGUAAUAGCUCACUGGUCGAGUCGGCCUGCGCGGAAGAUGUAACGGGGCUAAACCAUGCACCGAAGCUGCGGCAGCGAACGUAUCACCCAAGACAACUUUACGGAGUUGACGAUUGACGGAGCGAAGCGACGUCAAAGCGUUCAUUAAAGUCGAGUUGGCUUAGGGAUACGUUCGUUGGGUAGGGGAGCGUUCUGUAAGCCUGUGAAGGUGUGUCGUGAGGCAUGCUGGAGGUAUCAGAAGUGCGAAUGCUGACAUAAGUAACGAUAAAGCGGGUGAAAAGCCCGCUCGCCGGAAGACCAAGGGUUCCUGUCCAACGUUAAUCGGGGCAGGGUGAGUCGACCCCUAAGGCGAGGCCGAAAGGCGUAGUCGAUGGGAAACGGGUUAAUAUUCCCGUACUUGGUGUUACUGCGAAGGGGGGACGGAGAAGGCUAUGUUGGCCGGGCGACGGUUGUCCCGGUUUAAGCGUGUAGGUGUGUGUUCCAGGUAAAUCCGGUUCACUUUAACACUGAGGCGUGACGACGAGGCACUACGGUGCUGAAGCAACAAAUGCCCUGCUUCCAGGAAAAGCCUCUAAGCAUCAGGUAACACGAAAUCGUACCCCAAACCGACACAGGUGGUCAGGUAGAGAAUACCAAGGCGCUUGAGAGAACUCGGGUGAAGGAACUAGGCAAAAUGGUGCCGUAACUUCGGGAGAAGGCACGCUGACACGUAGGUGAAGUGAUUUACUCAUGGAGCUGAAGUCAGUCGAAGAUACCAGCUGGCUGCAACUGUUUAUUAAAAACACAGCACUGUGCAAACACGAAAGUGGACGUAUACGGUGUGACGCCUGCCCGGUGCCGGAAGGUUAAUUGAUGGGGUCAGCGUAAGCGAAGCUCCUGAUCGAAGCCCCGGUAAACGGCGGCCGUAACUAUAACGGUCCUAAGGUAGCGAAAUUCCUUGUUCGGGGUAAGUUCCGACCUGCACGAAUGGCGUAAUGAUGGCCAGGCUGUCUCCACCCGAGACUCAGUGAAAUUGAACUCGCUGUGAAGAUGCAGUGUACCGCGGCAAGACGGAAAGACCCCGUGAACCUUUACUAUAGCUUGACACUGAACAUUGAGCCUUGAUGUGUAGGAUAGGUGGGGAGGCUUUGAAGUGUGGACGCCAGUCUGCAUGGAGCCGACCUUGAAAUACCACCCUUUAAUGUUUGAUGUUCUAACGUGGACCCGUAAUCCGGGUUGCGGACAGUGUCUGGUGGGUAGUUUGACUGGGGCGGUCUCCUCCUAAAGAGUAACGGAGGAGCACGAAGGUUGGCUAAUCCUGGUCGGACAUCAGGAGGUUAGUGCAAUGGCAUAAGCCAGCUUGACUGCGAGCGUGACGGCGCGAGCAGGUGCGAAAGCAGGUCAUAGUGAUCCGGUGGUUUCUGAAUGGAAGGGCCAUCGCUCAACGGAUAAAAGGUACUCCGGGGAUAACAGGCUGAUACCGCCCAAGAGUUCAUAUCGACGGCGGUGUUUGGCACCUCGAUGUCGGCUCAUCACAUCCUGGGGCUGAAGUAGGUCCCAAGGGUAUGGCUGUUCGCCAUUUAAAGUGGUACGCGAGCUGGGUUUAGAACGUCGUGAGACAGUUCGGUCCCUAUCUGCCGUGGGCGCUGGAGAACUGAGGGGGGCUGCUCCUAGUACGAGAGGACCGGAGUGGACGCAUCACUGGUGUUCGGGUUGUCAUGCCAAUGGCACUGCCCGGUAGCUAAAUGCGGAAGAGAUAAGUGCUGAAAGCAUCUAAGCACGAAACUUGCCCCGAGAUGAGUUCUCCCUGAGACUUAGAGUCUCCUGAAGGAACGUUGAAGACGACGACGUUGAUAGGCCGGGUGUGUAAGCGCAGCGAUGCGUUGAGCUAACCGGUACUAAUGAACCGUGAGGCUUAACCUU
rnacentral:rRNA from 1 species